rnacentral:rRNA from 1 species
UACGGAGGGUGCGAGCGUUAAUCGGAAUUACUGGGCGUAAAGCGCACGCAGGCGGUUUGUUAAGCUAGAUGUGAAAGCCCCGGGCUCAACCUGGGAUGGUCAUUUAGAACUGGCAGACUAGAGUCUUGGAGAGGGGAGUGGAAUUCCAGGUGUAGCGGUGAAAUGCGUAGAUAUCUGGAGGAACAUCAGUGGUGAAGGCGACUCCCUGGCCAAAGACUGACGCUCAUGUGCGAAAGUGUGGGUAGCGAACAGG